GUUACAGUUGGGGGCAUUCGUAUUUCAUAGUCAGAGGUGAAAUUCUUGGAUUUAUGAAUGACGAACAACUGCGAAAGCAUUUGCCAAGGAUGUUAUCAUU
rnacentral:rRNA from 1 species